AUGUCUCUGUCGGCCGCCGCCACCGGGCCCAUCGACCUAAGUCUGUUUAUCUCCGCUGCAGGGCCUGUCCACCUCUCUGGGAAGCCUUUCAUCUCUUUGAAGGGCCUAGAACAGAGGACAGUCACUUCAAAUUCCGUGCCUUUUACCUGCACCACUGGCCCUUUCAGCUCCAGGAACCUCAGUGUUAACUGGUUUAAGAACAAUAAUAGACAUCCAGCUUCAGCCCCACAGUGGCUGCCUAUCAGCAGAGACGUUUACUAUGUCACAAGCAAGGCAUGGGUGGCAUUGGCCAAACAAGAUAUCUUUUCUCAGAUCACCUGUGAAGUCACCCAUGGGGACCUCGAUGAGCCCCUAAAAAUGACCAUCAAUCUUUCUCAAGUGCUCCUAGUUAUCCCCACACUGAAGAUCACCAUGAACCGUGAUAAGGCUCAUCAAAGAGUGAACCUGACUUGCCAUGUAAGCCACUUCUACCCCCAAAACGUGCAACUAAUCUGGACGAAGAAUAACAACAAGAUCCUGACUCCUGGGCUCCCUCACGUCACCAGAAACUCUGAUGCGACUUACUCUCUAAAGCACACAUUGCAAGACAUUGCCAAAUCGGAUGAGAGCACCUUUAGCUGCUGGGUGUUCCAGUAUGACCAGCCUCCACUGUGGGUCAACAUCACCUUGGGAGCACAGGCCUCCAGUAAGAACAGAGGUGGGAAGCCUUUCAUCUCUCUGAAGGGCCCAGAGCAGCGGACAGCCACUUUAAAUUCAGUGACAUUUACCUGCACCGCUGGCCUUUUCCACUCCAGGAACCUCAGUGUUAACUGGUUAAAGGACAAUAAUAAACAUCCAGCUUUGGUUCCACAAGUGGUGCCUAUCAACAGAGACAUUUUCUAUGUCACAAGCAAGGCAUCAGUGACAUUGGCCAAACAAGAUAUCUUUUCUCAGAUCACCUGUGAAGUCACCCAUGUGGACCUCAAUGAGCCCCUAAAAAUGACCAUCGAUCUUUCUCAAGUGCUCCUAGUUAUCCCCACACUGAAGAUCACCACUGAGCCCUCAGAGAUCCGUGACCAUGGGCAUCAAAGAGUGAACCUGACUUGCCAUGUAAACUACUUCUACCCCCAAAACGUGCAACUCACCUGGGCUAAGAAUGGGCACAACAUCCUGACUCCUGAGCUCUCUCAGGCCACAAGAAACUCUGAUGGGACAUACUCUCUAAAGCACACAUUGCAGGAAGAUUCCGUAUUGGAUGAAAGCAUCUAUAGCUGCCUGUUGUACCAGUAUGAUCAGCAUCCACAGAGCAUCAGCAUCACCCUGGGAGCACAGGCCUCCCAUAAGCGUAGAGCUGGGAAGCCUUUCAUCUCUUUGAAGGGCCCAGAGCAGAGGACAGUCACUUCAAAUUCCGUGCCUUUUACCUGCACCUCUGGUCCUUUCAGCUCCAGGAACCUCAGUGUUAACUGGUUUAAGAACAAUAAUAGACAUCCAGCCUCAGCCCCACAGCAGCUGCCUAUCAGCAGAGAUGUUUACUAUUUCACAAGCAAGGCAUGGGUGGCAUUGGCCAAACAAGAUAUCUUUUCUCAGAUCACCUGUGAAGUCACCCAUGGGGACCUCGAUGAGCCCCUAAAAAUGACCAUCAAUCUUUCUCAAGUGCUCCUAGUUAUCCCCACACUGAAGAUCACCAUGAACCGUGAUCAUGCUCAUCAAAGAGUGAACCUGACUUGCCAUGUAAGCCACUUCUACCCCCAAAACGUGCAACUAAUCUGGACCAAGAAUAACAACAAGAUCCUGACUCCUGGGCUCCCUUAUGUCACCAGAAACGCUGAUGGGACUUACUCUCUAAAGCACACAUUGCAAGAAGUUGCCAAAUCGGAUGAGAGCAUCUUUAGCUGCUGGGUUUUCCAGUAUGACCAGCCUCCACUGUGGGUCAACAUCACCUUGGGAGCACAGGCCUCCAGUAAGAACACAGAUCUCAUCCAUUUCUCCAUCUCUGGAUGA